AGGAAUAUUGGUCAAUGGGCGAGAGCCUGAACCAGCCAAGUCGCGUGAGGGAAGAAUGGUCUAUGGCCUGUAAACCUCUUUUGUCAAGGAAGAAUAAGGAUGAUGAGUCAUUCGAUGCCAGUACUUGACGAAUAAGCAUCGGCUAACUCCGUGCCAGCAGCCGCGGUAAUACGGGGGAUGCGAGCGUUAUCCGGAUUUAUUGGGUUUAAAGGGCGCGUGGGCGGGACGGCAAGUCAGCGGUAAAAGACUGCAGCUAAACUGUAGCACGCCGUUGAAACUGUUGACCUCGAGACGAGACGAGGGAGGCGGAACAAGUGAAGUAGCGGUGAAAUGCAUAGAUAUCACUUGGAACCCCGAUAGCGAAGGCAGCUUCCCAGGCUCGAUCUGACGCUGAUGCGCGAGAGCGUGGGUAGCGAACAGGAUUAGAUACCCUGGUAGUCCACGCCGUAAACGAUGCUCACUGGAUCUUGGCGAUACACGGCCAGGGUUCAAGCGAAAGUAUUAAGUGAGCCACCUGGGGAGUACGUCGGCAACGAUGAAACUCAAAGGAAUUGACGGGGGCCCGCACAAGCGGAGGAACAUGUGGUUUAAUUCGAUGAUACGCGAGGAACCUUACCCGGGUUUAAAUGUGGAGUGCAUGAGCUGGAAACAGUUCUUUCCCUCGGGACUCUUCACAAGGUGCUGCAUGGUUGUCGUCAGCUCGUGCCGUGAGGUGUCGGGUUAAGUCCCAUAACGAGCGCAACCCCUAUCGCCAGUUGCCAUCGGUUCAAGCCGGGCACUCUGUCGAGACUGCCACCGUAAGGUGCGAGGAAGGCGGGGAUGACGUCAAAUCAGCACGGCCCUUACACCCGGGGCGACACACGUGUUACAAUGGCCGGUACAGAGGGCAGCCACGGGGUGACCCGGAGCGAAUCUCUAAAGCCGGUCGUAGUUCGGACUGGAGUCUGCAACCCGACUCCACGAAGUUGGAUUCGCUAGUAAUCGCGCAUCAGCCAUGGCGCGGUGAAUACGUUCCCG
rnacentral:rRNA from 1 species